rnacentral:tRNA from 1 species
GCGGAGUUGGCGGACCGGCUUACGCACCCGCCUGCAAUGAGCCAAAAGGAGGCUGACGCUUCCAAAAAAAAGGCUUAAAGCAGAUAGCGGGCCAAGGGGGUUCGAUUCCCUCACUCCGCU